AACGCACCUUGCGCUCCUUGGUAUUCCGAGGAGCAUGCCUGUUUGAGUGUCAUUAAUAUAAUCAACCUUCAACUUGUUUGAGUGGUUUGGAUGUGGGGGUUUGCUGGCCUCUCAAAAGGUUUCAGCUCCUCUGAAAUGCAUUAGCAGAACAAACCUUGUUCAUUGGUGUGAUAACUAUCUACGCUAUUGAAUGUGAAGGGCAGUUUGGCUUUCUAACAGUCCUUGGACAAAGCUCAUCAUUAAUGUGACCUCAAAUCAGGUAGGACUACCCGCUGAACUUAA
rnacentral:misc_RNA from 1 species